UCCCUGGAGGAUUAGUGGUUAGGCCACAGCGCUCUCACCGCUGCGGGCCGGGUUCGAUUCCCGGCCAGCGAA
rnacentral:tRNA from 1 species